rnacentral:rRNA from 1 species
USKWCCYUGUGUAUSAUGGGCCUCUAAAUUAUAAUAAUAAUAUUUUUGCCCGAAAGUAUUGUGAGCUAUAUUAAAUCUCCCAAGAGGUGAACUUUGUGGCAAAAAAAGAAUAAGAAUUUAUUAUAGAAGUGAAAUGCUCUCGCACAUACUGAUAGCUGGUUAAACUGAAAAGUAUAUAAGUACUAUCUAUAGAAUAUAGAUGCAUUUUUAUUGGGAUUAGCUAAUAAAAACCAAGCAAGCUAAAAAGAACUAACUCAUUAUUUUAGUAUUACUAACGUUUAUAAAAAAAACUCCGUCGCAGGAUAUAUAUUUAAAUGUAAGAUUAUAUUCUUUGCUGCUCCUGAGUAGGUUAAAUUUAAAAGAAACGUAAUUGUAAAAUAAACUGGAGGUAUAAGUAUAAAAAGUGUAUAAACUACUGCUUUAGAAAGUUUGAUUAAGGAACUCGGCAAAUACAAAUUCUGACUGUUUACCAAAAACAUAGCUGGCAGAAAUUAUUUUCAGUUGCGCCUGCUCGGUGAAAAAUUUUUAACAGAUGCUUAGCAUUAAAGUUGCGUAAUAAUUUGUCUUUUUAUUGGGGACUUGUAUGAAGGUAUAAACGGAAAUUAGCUGUCUCAAUCAAACAAACUUGAAAUUAAUUUGUAAGUGAAAAAUCUUACACAACUAGCAGGACGACAAGACCCUAUAGAAUUUUAUUGUAAAUGUUGUGAAACUUCUAUUGCAAUUUUGUUGGGGCAACACAGGAAAUAACUUCCUUGUAAAAUAAUUUUAUCAGUAAUCUAAAAAAAUCCUUGAAAAGAAUAAAAAAAAAUUACCUUAGGGAUAACAGCGUAAUCUUCUUAGAGAGAUCUUAUCGACAAGAAGGCUUGCGACCUCGAUGUUGGA